GAUGAAGAACGUAGCGAAAUGCGAUAAGUAAUGUGAAUUGCAGAAUUCAGUGAAUCAUCGAAUCUUUGAACGCACCUUGCGCCCUUUGGCUAUUCCGAAGGGCAUGCCUGUUUUAGUAUCAUGAACACCUCAACUCUCAUGGUUUGCCAUGAUGAGCUUGGACUCUGGGGGUCUUGCUGGCCUAUGGUCAGCUCCUCUCAAAUAAAUCAGCUUGCCAGUGUUUGGUGGCAUCACAGGUGUGAUAACUAUCUACGCUUGUGGUUUUCCAUCAGGUAACCUUCAGUGAUGGAGGUUCGCUGGAGCUCAUAAAUGUCCAUCCUCAGCGAGGACAGCUUUUUGAACGUUUGAUCUCAAAUCAGGUAGGACUACCCGCUGAACUUAAGCAUAUCAAAAGCGGAGGA
rnacentral:misc_RNA from 1 species